rnacentral:rRNA from 1 species
GGCCCUUUGUAAAAUAAAAUCAAUCAAGAUAGGGGGUCGGACCUGCCCGGUGACAUUUCUAAUUUUUUUGAGGAAUUAGUACGUUUAACGGCCGCGGUACCCUGACCGUGUUAAGGUAGCACAAUUGCGUGCCUUUUAAUUGGGGGAUUGUCAACGGUUUGACGAGAGCUUAGCUGUCUCUUUUUAAAUAUCUAAAAAUUAACUUAUAGAUGAAAAGGUCUAUAUAACAUUAAAAGACAAGAAGACCCUGUCGAGCUUUAGUGGAAUUACAAGUUAUGUGUAAAUUUUUAAUGCACUUAAAUUUAUUUAAAAGACUUGGUAUAAUAUAUCUUUAGCUGGGAGGACGGAGGAAUAGAAAUAUCUUCCUUAGAUAUAAAUAGUUUGAUAUGAGAGUAUGUAAUUAAGAUGCUUUCGUUCUGUAUGCUGUAAGUUUAGUAAGCAAACUAAAAUAGAUCCAGUGAUUAUUGAUCAGUGGAGAAGUUACCGCAGGGAUAACAGCGUAAUCUUUCUGGAGAGCCCUUAUCGAAGGAAGGGUUUACGACCUCGAUGUUGGACUAAGAUAUCUGGAAGACGUAGAAGUUUUCAGAAGUUGGUCUGUUCGACCAUCAAAAUCUUACA